AGGGAAAAUCGGUAUUGGAAUAUUAUCAAUAUCUAGAAAUGAUUAGUAUUUACACGGACUUCUAUUCUCUAGAUGCCAAGAGCAGGGUUUCCAAGCAUAACACCUAUAGCUCCUCGUCCUUUUAGUCUAUUAAAUUUAGUAAGCCUAUCUCCCAUACAGUUGCUACUUUCACACCACUAACACAACAAGCACCUCACCUACAAUCAUACACCAAUUUUAUAACUACCCAACAUCAAACUCCCAAGGACCACGUAAUUCUUUCACGGAAUUCUUCAAUAAAAUAAUCCAUUUAAUUGCAAACAAUCAGGAAAACCUUACAAAUUGGAAAAAAUUACUAAGCUCUACCAAUCCCAUUAAAUACAAAAAUUAAUAUAUCAUAUUAUCCAAAUGCAUUAAAUAUCCUAUAUCAAACCGUGUAUACCAGUCUUACACCUCACACUCACCAAACUAUAUCCACGUAGGGCCAAAAUCGUUUCAAAAUAAAUAAAUAGCCUUAAAAUAAACUCAGCCCUUCGUUUUAUGACUUCUGAAAACUAUUUAGCUAACAACUAUGAGUUCAUUGUAGCAUGCUAUUCAUAGCAUCCAUCAUUCCUAUUUUUUUUGUGCGUCUAAUAGUUUUAAAUAAAGGAUGGAGAAAUUCGACUAAUCCCAGUAGGCUCUUUCUUCAGAAAAGCUGCUUCAAAAAUUGCUUCACAUAUUAAGGAAUCUCUUUCCUCAUUUAUGUUGUAACAUCAAUUAGGAUUUUGCGUUCCUGGAGCAGAAAUUUUUGCUAUAUCUCGCUCGUACAACUUUUGCAGAUAGCAUUCCCUAUUACGUAAUUAACGCGACCCUCUUCGAUAAAUUUGUAUGAUGGUAUGGUAGUAUGCACAAAAAUCGUUGCAAUGCAAUAAAGUGGAUAUUGAUCAGAGUCUUAUCAAUUUUUCGUCGCAGGAGGAUGUUAUCUGGAACGCCUUUCAAUUUAAAAAUUUCGCUAAAAAUAAUCCCCCAGUGACCUACUCGUAUUCAAAGGUGUCGAUUGGAUUGUUAC